AGGGCUGCACCCAUGGCAUAUGGAGGAUCCCAGGCUAAUCAGAGCUGUAGCUGCCGGCCUACACCAUAGCCACAACAAUGCGGGAUCCGAACCGCUCCUGCGACCUACACCACAGCUCACAGCAACAUCGGAUCCUUAACCCACUGAGCAAGGCCAGGGAUCGAACCCGCAACCUCAUGGUUCCUAGUCGGAUUCGCUCCACAGGCUGUGUUCUUAAUCCCCAUUGCCUUUCUCAUAAAAGUAUAUGUUGGCUUUUGAUUCUCUCAGUUGUGAUAUGUGCAGCCUUGGACACAUCUGUAGUCUUUGGGUCUUAGUUUCCUAAUCUGUGAAAUGGGAAUACUAGUAGUACUCACCACGUGGGAUUGUUGUGCAGAUUAAGUGAAUCAGUCCAUGGACAGGUCCAGCAGUGUGUGGCAUGUACACGCAAUACAGGGUAAGGGCUCAUGGGUACCUGUGUGCCAUUGAUGCUUAUUGUUUUUCUUAUUGUUUUGUCAUUAUUCUUAUCAGGGAGCUGGGGUAAAGGAGAUAGAUAUAAAAAUAGAUAAAACCCAGCCCCUGUGGCUCCUCACUCAACGUAAAUAUUCUGACCCAAUGGAUGCAUAGUGAAAAAGGGGGCAGAAGAAUGCCACCCUGCUUUCUGGCCUCACCCCUGUCUUAGGAUACUGCAAGAACUAUUUAGCAUCAGCUGCCAUUAUGCCCUCCUUGUUGGGGGGUGUGGACUUCUCCCCAUAGCCGGGGAGGCCUGGCUGAGGACAUGUGCCGUUGCAGAAGUGGUGCUGACCGCAGACACCCAUGCCCUCACUUUCUGGGCCUCCCUGUAUGGUGUCUUGUAAUGACUUGUCCAGGGCUUUGUCUUCUGCUCUGGGCAGUCAGGCACUAGGCGUGGAACAGGUAGCAGAAGAAAAGAGACGAUAGAUCUGGGCAGACCGUGAGUGACAGAGAAUGCCAGAGGUGUUCACUAACUCUUUCCCUUUCCCCUGCCUGGGCACACAGCUAGGCUACGCUUCCCAGCCUCCCUAGCAGUUAGAUGGGACCAUGUGACUGAGUUCUGUCCAGUGAAUGUGGGAGGAAUGAUUGCUCUAUGCUAGGAAGGGCACCUAAAAGCUCCUAUGUGAUCCUCUGCAGUUCAUUUCUUUCCUGUCCUGCUGGCUGCCUGCUGAGGACUCAGCAGAGGACUUCAAGUCCCUAAUGGGUGGUAGAACCACCAGAGAGAAGGAUAAAAUUUAUCAUAAAAUAAGAGGCUGUCUGCCAACAUCUGACUGGCUUUCGCAUGAGGGAGAAGUGAACUUUUCUCCUGAGCUCUAGGGGCUAUUUGUUACAGCAGUUCGCUGACCCUGACUAACAUAGAGGUACAGUGCAGGGGAAGAAGGACUGCUUUUCCUGAAAAUGCAGAUGGCAAACUACUCCCAAGUAUUUGGUGUUCUGUCACUGAAUCAAAGGGGUUCUAAACUGUGGUGUCCUUUUUCUUCUGAGGGAUAUGAAGCGUUUUCGUGUGUGAGCAGAGCAGUGUAACAGCUUUCCUCAAGUAAGCCAGUGGAAAUAAAAACUUGUUAACAGAGUUUUCGCUUCUAGAGAAAUAUUGUUACCAAGGACUAAAAGAAUCCAUUCAUAUUCAUUCAUUCAAUCUCUUUCUCUCUCCCCAUAUAAAAAUGAUAGACAUGUAUUUGUAGAACUUGUAAGAACUGCUUAUAACGCAAAGCAGUGGACACAUAUUAUAAGUGUACAGAUCCAUGAGUUUUUACACAUCGAACAUACCUCUUUAACCAGCACCGAGAAUAAGAAGCAGCAUUUGUAAGCCUCUGGAAAUUCUGCCCCUUCCCCUACAGUCAUAACUCCCGGAGGCCAGCCAUUAUCCUAACUUCUAACAGCCUGGUUUGGCCUAUUUUGGAAUCAUACAGUAUGUGCUUUUUUUUUUUUUUUUGUCUUUUGUCUUUUGUUGUUGUUGUUGUUGUUAUUGUUGCUAUUUCUUGGGCCGCUCCCGUGGCAUAUGGAGGUUCCCAGGCUAGGGGUCGAAUCGGAGCUGUAGCCACCGGCCUACGCCAGAGCCACAGCAACGCGGGAUCCGAGCUGCGUCUGCAACCUACACCACAGCUCACGGCAACGCCGGAUCGUUAACCCACUGAGCAAGGGCAGGGACCGAACCCGCAACCUCAUGGUUCCUAGUCGGAUUCGUUAACCACUGCGCCACGACGGGAACUCCAGUAUGUGCUUUUUAAUAUAUGGAUUAUUUGUUUGCUCAAAAUUAUAUCCCCGUGACCCAUCCACGUUGCAUGUAGCUGUAGUUCAUUUAUUUCCGUCCCCGUAAGUAUUCCUUUGUAGGACUCUACCGUAAUUUAUUCGCCCUUCUGCUACGGAUGGGCAGUUGGGUAGUUUCCUGUUUGGACUGUUCUGAAUGAGGCUGCUCUGAACAUUCUAGUUCCUAUCUUUUGGCGAAGGUACCUACUAUGCACCUCUGUUAGGUGAAAACUCCCUGCUUUGUAGUUUUAUAAAACUCUCGUCCUCCCUAAGAUAUGUCAAGGCCGUGACAGUCCCUGUUCUUAUUCCUAGCUGGGUCUUGGCUUCUAGACUAAGCCACAGUUUUGUUCUGUGUUUCAGGACUGUAAAGAUACUCACUGGUCCUUCAGUGGCCAAGUUUGGGUGUCUAAAAUGAAGAAAAUGUGAUUUACUUCAAAGGAUCUUUCUUCCGCCUCUUUGUAUAUUAGAGUAUCACUAUGGGGCCUUUUGAUUCUCCGACGAGGGCUCUUCACAAAGCUGUGUUUCAAAUCACUUGCAAACUCUGUGUAAUCAGAGUUUCACGUUGGGGUCCUUGUUGGCACUGCUUCUGCUCUUCCUCCGUGAGGAGGCGAAUCCUCUCGGAUUUCCGCCCGGCUUCCUCUCCCCAGGCGGGCAGUGCGGGAGGCCUGGGGGCGAGUCCUCUCCUGACUCGGAGGGAUUAGCCGGAGAGCUACCGGGAGCCGCCUUCGCCCAUUGCCUCUCCCAUUAAGGUUUUGUGCACAAAUCUAGACAAAGCAGGGCCUUGCCUCAGAAGGGCCAGGGACAGCGAUGGGGGGAACGUCUCUCUGUCCCCCCGAGAGGGUUUAUUCUCGAGGCUCUGCUUUCAGGGCCUUGGAUAUCGGAUCCCCAGCGUGGCAACCCAGACUAGGCAGAACUUUGUGGAUUCUGGGGCUUGAAAAGGCCUCCAGCAAAUUCUAAAACUGCCCACAGGACUUUCAUUGAAAGGCUCAGCUUCCCGGACUCCGAGGCUGAGGGUCGAAGCCCCGGACUCAGUGAGUGAUGCAACCCCCCCCUCCACCCCAAGGCCGGCUCACCGCCACAGGCUUCCUCCCUGGUCGCUUUGAAAUGCCCGUGUGAUCCGAGAGCUGAGGGCUGACCUUCUCCUCCAAGCCUCCUGGGAGCAGCGGAAACCUUGCUGAGGCCCAGGCAGCUCCACGGCUGCCCUGUGUUUGGAUGGAACAUUUGGUGCCUUUGGGUGUGAAGCCUUUGCAGUUAAGGCUGAAAAAUAGUUGUGAGAAGCCCCCGGGGGACCCUGCUGCUGAGUGACGCACAGCUGGGCCUUUGCAAGUGAGGUUUCGUGAUCAGUCUGAACAUGGAUUUAAGCUUGACUAUACUUCGCUUCAUUCCUUUUCCCAGCUAGAGGAUAAGUGAGCUGAUUUUUCCAUGAGGGAACUGCUUUGGACCAUGAACCCAGAUUUUCUUUAAAUGUAGAGGUGACUGUGUGCCUGAUGUUUGGCUGUUCAAACCUGGAGGCCUGGGGAGAGCGCUCUGUGAAGUCAGAAGGUGCAGGUGGGGUUGUGGUGCCGGGUGGUGAGUAUGUGCUUUUCUGUCCUUGCCCAGCUGUGAGUGUGAACACUUUAUGCAGAGUAAGAGGCCUUUAAAAAUCCAGAUGUGCUCCGAGCACCUGGGUGACUCUUGCUUAAAUGCACUGCUUGUCCCGAGUUGCCUUUCUUUUCUGUGGGGGCGCAGCCCAGAUCAGGGCCUACACUCUCUUCUUCCUCACCCUUUGGACUUUUUUUUGGUUUGUUUGUUUGUUUGUUUUUUGUCUUUUUGCCUUUUCUAGGGCUGUACCCACUGCACAUGGAGGUUCCCAGGCUAGGGGUCUCAUUGGGGCUGUAGCCGCCGGCCUAUGCCACAGCCACAGCAACGCCAGAUCCAAGCCGCAUCUGCGACCUACAUCACAGCUCAUGGCAACGCCAGAUCCUUAACCCACUGCGCAAGUCCAGGGAUCGAACCUGCAACCUCUUGGUUCCUAGUCAGAUUCGUUAACAACUGAGCCAUGACAGGAACUCCUGGACUUUUUCUGUUGCCAGUCCUGCCCCUAGUUUUUAGAAAAUGGCUGAAUUUUUGUCUGAGAUGAUGUCUUCAUGAGGAUCCUUCUAGACACCAUCAGGCAGACAUCAAGCAAAUUUGGGGGCACACACACACAUAUUCCCUUAACAUUGGUUGUGUGACUGCUUUCUGCAAGUCCUAUCUCAUGUUUUUUCACAAGCCCCUCAAAAUGCUGUCACGGAAAUAUAAUAUUUUUUUGGUAGAUGAAAUGGCAGCCCCGCUGGUGACUUUAAGAGCACAGGGUUUCAAGGGCCUCUUCCAGGAUUCAGACGCAGCUCUCUGUCUUUAGCCCUGGUCCUCCGUUUACCUUGCCCAGUGCCUUCCUCUCUGCUGGGCCCAGUUCCUCCCACCACCACCACCUUAUCGCCACUGUGGUAGCCUUCUGCCUCCCAGUUUAUGAUGGGGAAAUAGAGACAGGAAAAAAAAAAAAAAAAAAAAA
rnacentral:lncRNA from 1 species